UUUAUUUAUUUGCUUAUUUAUUUGCUGUUUAAUUAUUUAUUUACCAAUGUACUGUGUAUACUCUUAUUUAUUUCAUGCUUUCUGUGUCUGUGCGAAAUUGAAACCAUUGACUGAUGGGGCGUCAUUGUUUUAUGCUUUUUUGAGCCCCAUUAAUAUACCAAAGACGAACAUUACUCUCCCUGAAUGUAGUGUGAUUCUUCCCUCAAUGUUAUUGUUAAACAUACGGGAUAGGCCUGUGUUUAAUAUGUUUAAAAGUCUAUUUGUAUUCUUGGCAAAUGUCUCAUUGUUCAGAUACUUAUGCCAAAGUUAGUUUGAAAGUGAAGAGUUUGUGAUAGCGCAUUGGUUUGAGAUUUGCUGUGAUCGUCGGCGGGCCCUACGGCCGAAGUGUGUCCAUGUCCCCAUGACGAUUAUACUACAGUAUAUAUGUGAAUAUAUACAGUGCAUGCAGACAGCAAAUGAAGUAUCUCCAUGAUAUGAUUUCUAUCCAUCUUUCCCCUUGCAGUUAUUAGCAUACUGGAGGGACUGUGGAUCAGUGUGUGGUUGUGUGUGGAGAGUGGAGAAGGGGGGUGGGGUUGGGGCACGGGUGGCUUGUUUAUUUUUUUCUUCUUCUUUUGUUUUGUUUGUUUCCACUGAGCUUGGCCACGGUGGUCUGUCUUUAACCUUUCGGAGGGGCGUGUCGUGGAGCCCCGUUACAGCAUGCACUUGAAAGUGGGGGCCCAUGAAAGAGGCCAUCGACUUCCAGCAGACUUCAAAGAGGCCCUCUUUCUAUUUUUUUUUUUCAUGUGUCUCCUCUCCACGCAGCCUGUCUGGGGUGCAGACCUGCUCCGACCCAUGGGCUUUGGACAUUCAAAGGGGCGGGCAGAUCAGAGAAGGGGGCUGAAUCACCCCAAAAAAUUGAAGGAUUGAGGGAAGGUGGGGGUGGGGGUGGGGGGGUUGCAGGCAGCGGAAUUAAACUUUAAUGGCUGCCAACUGUAAGUGUGCUGUGGGAAGGGAGAUGGGUAGCGGUAGCUGAGGGAAGUCUCAAGUCCUGUGGCCGCGUUUCUGCUCCAGUCUGACACGGUCUCGCCCAUUUAUGGGACUUGCAGAUGCACACGUCUACGUCAGAAAUCACGGCUCCUACAAAACGAAACCACACUCGGUCAAACGUGGGAGUAAUCACACAGUGUUGGACGUGUUGUGAUUUUAAAGGUUCAAAGUGGGGUUAGGUUUUCGUGUUUUUUUUGCCCCCCCCUUGUUAUUUGAGGGCCUGGUCAAAUCUGCGGCCUAGUAAUGAAUGUACUGUCUUUGGCGCCAUCUAGUGGUGAAAUUGUGAAUGAUCUCCAGUGUGACCACAAAGGAACAGAUGGAGUGGAGCAAAAGCCCCAAAUUACCCAGGCUGUUUCAAGAGAAAGCAAGGAAUGUUGAGAACAACAAAUAAUCUUAAAAAACAACACCAACCAGCGGCGAAAGGAUAUAAAUGAGAUGUAGAAAAAAAACCUAAACCACUCUACUUCUCUACUCUUGUGCCCGUC
ensembl:lncRNA